GAAACCUUGGCGGACCGCUCAGUAACACGUGGAUAACCUACCUUUGGGACUGGAAUAACCCCGGGAAACUGGGGAUAAUACCGGAUAGAUCAGGGAUGCUGGAAUGCACCUUGAUCCAAAGCUCCGGCGCCCAAGGAUGGGUCUGCGGCCUAUCAGGUAGUAGUGGGUGUAACGUACCUACUAGCCAACGACGGGUACGGGUUGUGAGAGCAAGAGCCCGGAGAUGGAUUCUGAGACACGAAUCCAGGCCCUACGGGGUGCAGCAGGCGCGAAACCUUUACAAUGUGCGAAAGCAUGAUAAGGGAACUCCGAGUGCCAGUAUCUAAUACUGGCUGUCCUUGUGCCUAAAACGCACAAGAUAGCAAGGGCCGGGUAAGACCGGUGCCAGCCGCCGCGGUAACACCGGCGGCCCGAGUGGUAGCCGCUAUUAUUGGGUCUAAAGGGUCCGUAGCCGGUUCGAUAAGUCCUCUGGGAAAUCUGGUUGCUUAACAAUCAGACUGCCAAGGGAUACUGUCGAACUUGAGACCGGGAGAGGUAAGAGGUACUUUAGGGGUAGGAGUGAAAUCUUGUAAUCCCUGGGGGACCAUCUGUGGCGAAGCGUCUUACCA
rnacentral:rRNA from 1 species